CAGUCGCCGCGGUAAUACGAAGGGGGCUAGCGUUGUUCGGAAUCACUGGGCGUAAAGGGUGCGUAGGCGGGCAUUUAAGUCAGGGGUGAAAUCCCGAGGCUCAACCUCGGAACUGCCCUUGAUACUGGAUGUCUUGAGUCCGGAAGAGGUGAGUGGAACUGCGAGUGUAGAGGUGAAAUUCGUAGAUAUUCGCAAGGACACCGGUGGCGAAGGCGGCUCACUGGUCCGGAACUGACGCUGAGGCACGACAGCGUGGGGAGCAAACAGGAUUAGAUACCCCCGUAGUCCCUGUCUCUUAUAC
rnacentral:rRNA from 1 species